UUCCCAGGAUUUCUGUUCCUGCUUCAUCGUCGCAAUUCUAUGCUCUAAAAGACUUGAUUUUGCCAACUGUUUCAGGAAGGGAAAAAGAGUCUUGGCUGCAGGAAGUCUGGGGUCACAGAAUGCCAAAGAAAUGCUGCUCCAGGACACUCUGGAACAACAGACUACCACAGGAGGCCCCUGUGCCACUGUCCACAGAGAAAGGUUCAUUAUGGUGUGUAUUGUAUACGAUGAUGGUAAAGUCUUAUUACUUCUACUACCUUAUCGACACAGCUAUUUAAUUCCUCACUCAGAGCUUCCUUUUCUUUCAGCAGUUUUUCGUUGUAGCUUAGAACACUAGAGAUUUUUUGCUGGAAGUCAGAGAGAUCGGGACAUCUGUGCAGCUGUAAGAGAUAAACAAAUGAGCCCUCCCAUCACAUCUCAUGGCUAAGGUGCCUACGCUGACUGGCCAGUAAAAUGUUGUUGGUGCGAACAUACUGGCUUUUCCUCUCCACUUCAUGAAAUCAAGACAAACCAAAUACUGUUUUUUAUUCGUCUUCAAUAUCAGUGCUGGUACUAGUCUCAUUUUGGGCUGGAUAAUUCUUCAGGCGUUGGGGGUCGCGGGGCAUUCUGGACACUGUAGGAUGCUUCACAGCGUCUCUGGCUUUACUCAAAAGAUGGCAGUAACCCCCCACCUUCCAGUUGUGAAAACAAAAAAUGUGCCCAGACAUUGAUAAAUGUUCUGGGGCAGGAGAGCAAUCCUCACCCCUUCACCCUAUUGAAAACCCAUGCUUUAAAGAGGCUGUUUCUUACACUUCUUAACCCUUUUCCAUAGUUCAUAGGUUUUUAACUUUCCUCUAUUUCACUUGACUCUUCAAUUCUUUAUUAUCAUUAUGAUUUUACGACCAUCUUUCUACUUCCUGAACCUGAAAUUCUUUCACAUUUAGCUGUAGGAAUAGUAUGACAAAACAGACUUUCAGGGUUCAAUCUUGUCUUCAACUGGUGACAAAUCCAGCAUACCUUACAAAUCUGAACAAGUCAGAAGGAUAUAGGAAAAUGUAUUUUGAAAUACCUGGGCACUGGUUUAAUAAAGGACCUUCUACUUUAUCCACUGCCUUGUCUUCCUACCCUCCAGACACCCGUAAAGCUUGAUACCAUUUUGGAUGUCUGUAAACUGGCAUGUAACUUUUGCUGAUGCUAUUUGUGUUUCCUUUCAGUGCAAUAGAUAACACAGAUAGAAGUGCUUUGUGAACUAUGAAUCACGAUAUCAUACAGAGUGACACAUGCCUUCUAGGUCCACGUUGUAUAAUAGCAAUGAUGGGCUGACGCUACCCUAUUCUUGGGAUCCAAAAGGAUCCAGGUCUCUGAUAAAACAACUUUCUACCAAAGGCAGACCAGGCUCACAAUUUCUUCAUCUCACUAUUUAUACCAAUGCUUGUUUAAAAAAAAAAAAAAAAAAGCAAUAAAAACGUGCUGAAUGACA